rnacentral:rRNA from 1 species
GGAAAGCUCAAAUGGGGAAUUGGCCCCGGAGGCAGCAGUAAAGAAUUUUGUGCAAUAUAUGAAGGUAAGACACAGAGAGGGCACCUUGCCUAGUCCGUCAAAUUAAGUGCCAGCAGACGCGGUGAAACUUAAGGGCUAGUUUUGUGGGCAAAAGCGUAAAGGGUGUGAUAGGCCGUUUUAAUUAAAAAGGGUUUUAUAAUUUAAGAAGGUAAAUGGAAUUUUUUUGUAGCGGUGGAAUGUGUAAAUAGAAAAAAGAACUUUAGACGUGAAGACUAUUUAUUUUUGAGAUUAUAGUGUGGUGGCUAAAACACGAGAGUAUGGGGAGCAAACAGGAUUAGGGACCCUGGUAGUCUAUACUGUAAAUAAUGAAAAAGAUGUGAAGCAAUCCUAAAAAGUCAGAAAUUUUCCGCUUGAGUAGUACGACCGCAAGGUUAAAAUUCAAAAAACUUGGCUGUUCACUGUUUUAAUUAGAGGAGCGUGUCGUUUAAUUCGAUAGUCCGCGAGAGACCUUACCCAAACUUGAAUCCCUCAUUGACAGGUAUUGCAUGGCCGUCGUCAAUUUGUGUAUUAAACAUAAAACAGAUUUAACCCAGUGGUUUGUCACUUGGAUGAAGUCAGGUCUUAUUGUCCUAAUGUUUGGGGAUUAGAUGCGCUACAUUUUUUUAUACAAUAGGAAACUUUGAGUGUGAAACCUGAAAAUAAGAGUUCGGAAAGUGCCUGGAAGAUAACGGAAAGUUGUAUUUAAUAGUAAUUGAAAAGUAGAGCGUUUCAAUGAAAUUUUUUCAGUGUUAGUACAAAUUGCCCGUCGCCUUUGCUUAGACAGGUUGGUUGAUUGCCCCUCAAGAGGGUUUCUAAUACCUCCGAGGCAGAGUAA